rnacentral:misc_RNA from 1 species
CCGAGUUUACAACUCCCAAACCCAAUGUGAACGUUACCAAACUGUUGCCUCGGCGGGAUCUCUGCCCCGGGUGCGUCGCAGCCCCGGACCAAGGCGCCCGCCGGAGGACCAACCAAAACUCUUGAAUUCUAAAGUAUCUUCUGAGUAAUAUAAGUUAAAUAAAUUA